GCAGCCGGGAUGAACUAGCAUGCGAGUCAUUGUAGCAAUACAAGGCAGACGGCUCAGUAACGCGUAGUCAAUCUACCCUAUGGACGGGAAUAACCUCGGGAAACUGAGAAUAAUGCCCGAUAGAACAUUAUACCUGGAACGGUUUAUGUUUCAAAUGAUUUAUCGCCGUAGGAUGGGACUGCGGCCUAUCAGUUUGUUGGUGAGGUAAUGGCCCACCAAGACUGUUACAGGUACGGGCUCUGAGAGGAGUAGCCCGGAGAUGGGUACUGAGACACGGACCCAGGCCCUAUGGGGCGCAGCAGGCGAGAAAACUUUGCAAUGUGCGAAAGCACGACAAGGUUAAUCCGAGUGGUUUCUGCUAAAGAAACCUUUUGCUAGUCCUAGAAACACUAGUGAAUAAGGGGUGGGCAAGUUCUGGUGUCAGCCGCCGCGGUAAAACCAGCACCUCAAGUGGUCAGGAUGAUUAUUGGGCCUAAAGCAUCCGUAGCUCGUUUUGUAAGUUUUCGGUUAAAUCCAUACGCUCAACGUAUGGGCUGCCGGGAAUACUGCAUAACUAGGAAGUGGGAGAGGUAGACGGUACUCGGUAGGAAGGGGUAAAAUCCUUUGAUCUAUUGAUGACCACCUGUGGCGAAGGCGGUCUACCAGAACACGUUCGACGGUGAGGGAUGAAAGCUGGGGGAGCGAACCGGAUUAGAUACCCGGGUAGUCCCAGCUGUAAACUAUGCAAACUCAGAGAUGCAUUGGCUUGUGGCCAAUGCAGUGCUGCAGGGAAGCCGUUAAGUUUGCCGCCUGGGAAGUACGUACGCAAGUAUGAAACUUAAAGGAAUUGGCGGGGGAGCACCACAAGGGGUGAAGCCUGCGGUUCAAUUGGAGUCAACGCCGGG
rnacentral:rRNA from 1 species